rnacentral:lncRNA from 1 species
CCUCUCUGACUCAGGAUUGGAUCUGUUUCUGAGGGUGGUGCCAGGGGGCACAGUGUGGCUUUAGCUAGAUUCUUUGAACUUGGAGUCAAACCUGAGGCUCUGACCCCUUGUAGCCGCUGGCCCUCCCUUGACCCCUUUGGAUGAGUGAGGGGGCUCAGCUGGACCCUAUGACCUUGCUUCACAUUGGGAGAGGAAACGUGAGGUGGAGGAAAAUGAUCCCUGUGACGAUGUUGAAAACAGAGCCUGCUCAGCCUUAAUAAACCAGAGCUGCUGCGAGGCACCAGCGCUUCAGUUGGGUCAAACCAAAGUUUCCUGCUCUUCUCAUAAAGAUGGCGUCUUGCUCUGUCACCCAGGCUGGAGUGCAG